ACCUGGUGGGCUCAGUCCGUAGAGCAUGUGACUCUUGAUCUUAGGGCUGUGAGUUCAAGCUCCGCAUUGGGUG
rnacentral:tRNA from 1 species